rnacentral:rRNA from 1 species
GACGAACGCUGGCGGCGUGCCUAAUACAUGCAAGUCGAGCGGACGAAUCGAAAGCUUGCUUUUGAUUCGUUAGCGGCGGACGGGUGAGUAACACGUGGGCAACCUGCCCUGUAGACGGGGAUAACACCGAGAAAUCGGUGCUAAUACCGGAUAACACGAAAUGUCGCAUGACGUUUCGUUGAAAGACGGCGCAAGCUGUCGCUACAGGAUGGGCCCGCGGCGCAUCAGCUAGUUGGUGAGGUAACGGCUCACCAAGGCGACGAUGCGUAGCCGACCUGAGAGGGUGAUCGGCCACACUGGGACUGAGACACGGCCCAGACUCCUACGGGAGGCAGCAGUAGGGAAUCUUCCGCAAUGGACGAAAGUCUGACGGAGCAACGCCGCGUGAGCGAAGAAGGCCUUCGGGUCGUAAAGCUCUGUUGUUAGGGAAGAACAAGUAACGCAGUAACUGGCGUUACCGUGACGGUACCUAACGAGAAAGCCACGGCUAACUACGUG